rnacentral:rRNA from 1 species
UACGUAGGGGGCAAGCGUUGUCCGGAAUCAUUGGGCGUAAAGCGCGUGUAGGCGGUCCGGUAAGUCCGCUGUGAAAGUCGAGGGCUCAACCCUCGAAUGCCGGUGGAUACUGUCGGGCUAGAGUCCGGAAGAGGCGAGUGGAAUUCCCGGUGUAGCGGUGAAAUGCGCAGAUAUCGGGAGGAACACCAAUGGCGAAGGCAGCUCGCUGGGACGGUACUGACGCUGAGACGCGAAAGCGUGGGGAGCAAACAGGG